rnacentral:piRNA from 1 species
UGCCUAUGGAUCCCAAGCAGGGAUGACUGG